GGUUCCGAUUCUGGCUCAGAUUGAACGCUGGCGGGAUGUACUUUACGCACGCAUGCAAAGUCGAACAGCGGCACGGACUUCGGUCUGGUGGCGAGUGGCGAACGGGUGAGUAAUGUGUCGGAACGUGCCUAGUAGCGGGGAUAACUACGCGAAAGCGUAGCUAAUACCACAUACGCCCUUCGAGGAAGGCGGGGACCUUCGGGCCUCGCACUAUUAGAGCGGCCGAUAUCGGAUUAGCUAGUUGGUGGGGUGGCUCACCGGGCGACGAUCCGUAGCUGGUUUGAGAGGACGACCAGCCACCUGGGACUGAGACACGUGACCCAGACUCGUACGGGAGGCAGCAGUGGGGAAUUUUGGACAAUGGAAACCCUGAUCCAGCCAUCCCGCGUGUGCGAUGAAGGCCUUCGGGUUGUAAAGCACUUUUGGCAGGAAAGAAACGGCGGGAUAUGCCCCGUGCGCUGACGGUACCUGCAGAAUAAGCACCGGCUAACUACGUGCAGCAGCCGCGGUAAUACGUAGGGUGCAAGCGUUAAUCGGAAUUACUGGGCGUAAAGCGUGCGCAGGCGGUUCGAAGAAAAGAUGUGAAAUCCCAAGAAGCUUAACACGGAACUGCAUUUUUAACUACCGAGCUAAAGUGUGUCAGAGGUGGAAUUCGCGAUAGCGGUGAAAUGCGUAGAUAUGCGGAAGAACACCACGAUGGCGAAGGCAGCCUCCUGGGAUAACGACUCCGUCACAAGCGUGGGAGCAAACAGGAUUAGAUACCCUGGUAGUCCACGCCUAAACGAUGUCAACUAGCUGUUGGGGCCUUCGGGCCUUGGUAGCGCAACUAACGCGUGAAGUUGACCGCCUGGGGAGUACGGUCGCAAGAUUAAAACUCAAAGGAUGACGAGGACCCGCACAAGCGGUGGAUGAUGUGGAUUAAUUCGAUGCAGCAUGAAAACCUUACCUACCCUUGACAUAUCUGGAAUCCCGAAGAGAUUUGGGAGUGCUCGCAAGAGAACCGGAACACAGGUGCUGCAUGGCUGUCGUCAGCUCGUGUCGUGAGAUGUUGGGUUAAGUCCCUGCCAACGAGGCGCAACCCUUGUCAUUAAGUUGCUACGAAAGGCACUCCUGUGAGACUGCCAGUGACAAAGCCGGAGGAAGGUGGGGAUGACGUCAGUCCUCGCCAAGCCAUAUGGGUAGGGCUUCACCCGUCAUACAAUGGUCAGGACGAGGGUCGCCAAGCCCGCGAGAGGCCAAUCCCAGAAACCGAUCAUAGUCCGGAUCGCAGUGCAACUCGACUGCGUGAAGUCGGAGGAAAUCGCUAGCCAAUCGCGGAUCCAGCAUGUCGCGGUGAAUACGUUCCCGGGUCUUGUACACACCGCCGUCCUGCAUGGGAGUGGGUUUUACCAGAAGUAGUUAGCCUAACCGUAAGGAGGCGAUUACCACGAGCGAGUUCAUGACUGGGGUGAAGUCGUAACAAGGUAG
rnacentral:rRNA from 1 species